rnacentral:rRNA from 1 species
GUCCAGACUCCUACGGGAGGCAGCAGUGAGGAAUAUUGGUCAAUGGGCGCGAGCCUGAACCAGCCAAGUCGCGUGAGGGAGGACGGCCCUACGGGUUGUAAACCUCUUUUGCCGGGGAGCAACGGGCGUCACGUGUGGCGCCACUGAGAGUACCCGGAGAAAAAGCAUCGGCUAACUCCGUGCCAGCAGCCGCGGUAAUACGGAGGAUGCGAGCGUUAUCCGGUUUUAUUGGGUUUAAAGGGUGCGUAGGCGGUCCGUUAAAUCAGGGGUCAAUGGGGGGGACUCAACCCCUUCCCGCCAUUGAAACUGGCGCUCUUGAGUGGAAGAGAAGUAUGCGGAAUGCGUGGUGUAGCGGUGAAAUGCAUAGAUAUCACGCAGAACCCCGAUUGCGAAGGCAGCAUGCCGGCUUCCGACUGACGCUGAAGCACGAAAGCGUGGGGAUCGAACAGGAUUAGAUACCCGAGUAAA